CUGUUUACAUCCUAUUACAGUUUUUCAUGAGUGUCCAGUGCGCAGUGGCUGCAAACACUGCUCAGUGGUGUAUGUAGCCUGUUGCUUGUGCAGGUGCCCUAAGGGACCUUGGAGACGCUG
rnacentral:snoRNA from 1 species